UAAGGAAUAUUGGUCAAUGGAGGGAACUCUGAACCAGCCAUGCCGCGUGAAGGAUGACGGCCCUCUGGGUUGUAAACUUCUUUUGGAUGGGGCGAAAAAACGGGAUUUAUCCUGGACUGACGGUACCAUCAGAAUAAGCACCGGCUAACUCCGUGCCAGCAGCCGCGGUAAUACGGAGGGUGCAAGCGUUAUCCGGAAUCACUGGGUUUAAAGGGUGCGUAGGCGGUUGUAUAAGUCAGGGGUGAAAGCACGCAGCUUAACUGUGUAAUUGCCUUUGAUACUGUACGGCUUGAAUAGGGUUGAGGUUGGCGGAAUGUGACAUGUAGCGGUGAAAUGCAUAGAUAUGUCAUAGAACACCGAUUGCGAAGGCAGCUGACUGGGCCUAUAUUGACGCGUACGGAA
rnacentral:rRNA from 1 species